rnacentral:lncRNA from 1 species
ACUGAAAUUUUAACUACUAAGCUACUAUAGAAAAAAAUGUAUCUAAUGACUAUAUAUUUUAGUUUUUUACAAUUGUCUCAUGUAUAUGAUAUGAUAUUUGAACUAUAUAUCCGUUGAGAUUACAAAAUCAUUGUGAAAAUGAAAGACAAAUACACAUAAAAGCAAUGCAUUUUGCAACAUAAGAAUCUGGACACAACAAGGGUGGACAAUCAGAAUCCUUCUCGCAAUCCGGGGAACUCUGUGCUGCGAUAUGGAAAAAAAAGAACAAAUAUUACUGGAAUGGAUGAAAGAUCAAGAAAGUUCAAAAGAUAUGAAAAUGGUUUACCAUCAACAUGAGUUACAACAAGCAGCAAGGAAAUAAAGAGGAUGGUGAAAUAAACAAACUUAAUAAUUUGAGACAUAUUUUUUCUCUUAAGCUUAUAACAAAUUGAAAUUUAUUGAUCACUUUAAAAAAGUCCUAUGUUUAGUUUACUUGAUUGAAUAAAUAUUUUUUUUUCACUUUUA